UACUUAAUUAUAUAUUAAUUUAUCAAAAUACAAUGUUAGAUAUAUCUACGUAAUAUCAAGGGCGAAAAUGCUGAGAAGAAAAGAGGUCUCUUUACGAUACUACUCUUAGUAGGAAUUUUUCAAAAGUAUUCAUGUACAACGAACCUAAAGAAAUUUCCAGAUUUCUCUUCUAUCGACCAUUUGAACUCUUAGGAAGUCGCUACAUGUUCAACAAAACUAUACAAUCGAAAAUAAUAAAUUAUUCAUAAUAGAUAUUAAACUAGUAGGCUGAACGAACUUGCACUCUUCAUCUUCCAUUUCAUUAUAUCUUUCAUUAAAUUUCAAUCCUUAAUUCACUUUGGCGCUCUCUUCUGCAAGAAGCUAAGAAUACCAUCAGUUCCACCAAGUGGAGAACUCGUGAACUUCUGCAGCAUCCUGCAGACGCCUGCAAGGUCUGCACGCGGAACACGGGGUACGAUGGAGGGGGUUGAGCUGCAGCUUUAUUGGGGGUCCAACAAUGAUCGGUUGCUCCACCAUAAAAGGUCGUAGCUGUACUAGCACGCCAUGCCUCCCUUUCCAACUCUAUCUCGUUCCGGUUCUUCGCCAGCUCUAUGCAAAUCGUUCGGCGACCAGGCUCAAGAUCGAAGAACGCGCUGCGCUGCUCGAUCAGUUGAAAAUCGGCCGCUGUUCGACACACUUGGUUUUCCUAAACGGUGACGAACUCGUGAAUUUGUCUGAUAGUCGCUUGCAAGACGAUCGAGCAGUCAUGUCGAGUAAGACGGUGUCGGGACGUGGACGCGGAGAAAAAUGGCGGGAAAAAUCGGAGCGUGCGUGGGCGCAGGAUCGAUGAAGAGCGCAAAAUGGCGACGCGAGAAAGCAGGCAGAGAGAAUCGACGAAGAAGGGAGAGGGUUCGUCGAGGAAGGGGAUGAAGGAGCAGUCGAAGGGAGCGCAGGCGGUUUGGAAUGGGUGACUAGGAGAACGGUUCACCGGUAACGUUGAUUCGAUCGUGGGCGAAGCUGGCUGGAGAUCGAGUGAAAUUAUUUGGAAGAAGAAUGCAAUGGCGAUGAUCGAGCUCUGUCGGUGAUUGCGCAAAGAAUAAUAAUUUUGCGUUACCAAAGGCGUUACAAAAUUAGUAAUUAACUUAUUUCUCGUUAUAGCCGCUAUAUAUCGUAUAAGCCGUUGAGAAGCUUAAUUGAUCUGCUGUGAAAAGUUCAGAAAACUGACCACAUUACAAAUACUAUCUUCUACGUUUAUUUUAGAAUUUAUCUUAGAAUUUAAUUUCGAAUUAAUUAUUAGCGAUUAAUUAUUGAUCGAUUACAUACGUAAUAAAAUUAAGAACUUGAUAAAAAAUGGAGUUCAUCAAUUUGUCUUCUGAGAGAAAGAUAUAUUAUGGAAAUGUAUGCAUUAUGAAUAGAAGAGAAAUAUAUGUGUCUGUAUGUAAAAGAUUAAUGUUGGAAAUUUUUUACAGGCAACCUGUAAA